rnacentral:rRNA from 1 species
UACAGAGGGUGCAAGCGUUAAUCGGAAUUACUGGGCGUAAAGCGUGCGUAGUCGGUUAUCUAAGUCGGGUGUGAAAUCCCCGGGCUCAACCUGGGAAUUGCAUUCGAUACUGGAUAGCUAGAGUUCGGCAGAGGGAAGCGGAAUUUCGGGUGUAGCGGUGAAAUGCGUAGAUAUCCGAAGGAACAUCAGUGGCGAAAGCGGCUUCCUGGACCAGAACUGACGAUCAUGCACGAAAGCGUGGGGAGCAAACAGG